GCUGCCCUACGAGGGGCGGCGCAAGGGCGGCAGCGCGGGCCGUUCGGAGCGGCGGCGGCGGCGGCUCCCUCCCGUCCCCGUCCGGCCAUGGACCGCUACGUCCUGCUCCUGAGCUGGGGGGAGCGCAGGGCCGAGGGUGCUGCGGCGGGCGGACCCGGGCCCGGAGCAGCUGGGGCUGCUGCAACUCUUUAUCAGUUCCUGAAAGCAAGCUGUAAAUCAUCUAUAAAUGCAGAUGUGAGCGCAUUCCCAGCGUGUUCAGUGGCUGGUAUUCCAGGUGUAAAGAAAUGGUAUUUUGCAAGUCAUGUUAUAUGCGGUUAUUAUCAGUUCUGCAGUUCUGACUGGGAGGAAAUAAAUUUUGACACACAGAAAAAUGAAGACUGUCUCCAAACAAGUAUUGACGAAUGCCUGGGAGCCAUACAAAAUUUUGAGGAGGAUGACAAUAACAGUAGAGAGUCACUGUCUAUGACUGAUAUCUAUGAUGAAGCUGCAGAAAGUCUGCAUCAGUUAGCUGAUAAACUGCCUGCCCCAGGCAGAGCAAUGGUUGAUGUAAUACUGCAGGCUGUUGAACGAGAUGGACCCAAGUUAAAAGACUGCUUACCUGCUAUUGGUGCACUGAAACACCUGGGAGAAUGGCACUCUGCACAAAUCACUAUUACAGCAAAUGAUUCUAAAGGUAGCUGGCAAAAGAUUGCAGACUAUCUAUCAGCAGACUUUGUAUCUUCAGAUAAUGUUAUGAAUAUUAUUGAUUUAAAAGAGCUCUGGAGAGGAAAGAUUCAGAUAUGUGAAAGAAAGUUUGGAUCAGAAGUUAGGUUUCCAAAAUUUUGUAUGAAGAGCACUUCAGCAAAGACAUUCAGCACUUCACAUUUAAGUUCUUGCUUUGCCGCUAAAAAAGAGCGACAAUCGAGGAAUACUGAUGCUUUGCCAGAGGUUUUUCAUUACUAUGGUCCUGCACUAGAAUUUUUACAGAUGGUGGUGCUCUCUGAUCUACCUUCCUUUUUUAUAUCAGAUCUGGAAUUCGAGCUGAGCCUGGCAGGAAAGAGUAUCAAGGAGACAUCUACACUGCUUUUGGACCAGAUAUCUUCUCUCUCUGGGAAGGUGGGAGCUUUGUUUACAUUGCCAUGUAAUGUAAGCAGUGUAGUGAUCCCAUCCCCUGCCCAGCUGAGUACCAAGAAAUGGAAAGAAUAUAUGGCUAGGAAACCCAAGGUCAUUACUGUUCCAGAAAUUGAACUGAAAGGAGAAUCUUGCCGAUAUUAUUUCUUGCUACAAGGCAAUGACUCCGGAGGAUGUAAAGCAACCUUGAUUCAUUCAGCUAGCCAGAUCAAUGGUACGGCCACUCUUGCUGCAAUAAAUGGAAAGCUAAAGACAAAAGCAGAAGAAACAGAGUCAAGCUUCUGUAUUGCUGACUUUAUCAAGUCUCUGCCACGUUUUUGUGGAGAGGAGAUUGUACAGAGAGAAAAGAAACUGUCUCGUCUCCAAGUGUUUGCCUUGAAGGAAUAUCUCAAGAGAAAGGAAUUGACCAAGCAGCCUCCAGUUAUUUCUACUGAUGAGUUUAAAAACUUGUUAGAACUUACAAGAGAAAGUUUUUUGGACCUGUGCAACACUAGUCUACCUAAACCUGUUCUACAGAAGGUUGCAAAUAAGACUAGGUCAUGCACUGUGACUUCUGAAUCUGAUUUAAUGGAGCCAAAUCCAUUGGAGUGGCCAGAAAGACAUGUUCUUCAGAAUUUGGAAAACUUUGAAAAAAACAAACAAAAAAUGAGAGUUUCUAUGUUUGCACAUUCAUCUGAGCAAUUGCUGGGGCAUAAAGAUAGCCAGCGGGAGUCAUUGACGUUACUCGAUGCUAAAGAAUUACUGAAAUAUUUCACACCCGAAGGGCUACCAGUUGGUGAUCUUCAGCCACUACAAAUUCCCAAACGUGAAAACGCAUUCCUUUUGACACCAGAGCUUACUCCUCGGAAACUCAGAGGUUUGCCUUUUGAAAAAGCAGCUGGAUGCCAUUAUCAUGGACUUGAAUAUUGUCUAGAUAACAGAAGAGCCUUAGAGAGAGAUGUGGGAUACGCUGAACUUCAAACUCGUCUUAUUCGCUAUGAAACUCAGACUACUUGCACCAAAGAGUGCUGCCCUGUGCCGAUUGUCUUGAGCCCUCUCCCAUCCCCUGCAGUCUUGUCAGAGCCUGGAAGUGUCCCUGAUGGAGAGUCUUUACAAAGUGAAUUCAAAACAGAGGCAUCAAGGCUAAAACGCAGAUCAAAAGACUUGGAUUGCUUUUAUCCCAAGAAAAGGCUAACCAAAUCUGAGAGUACAGAUUCCCUCCUCUCUCAGGCAAGCGGAAGUAGUGGGAAUCACUAUACAGCUGCUGUAGCGAGGAAGCGUUCUGAAAGAUCAGUUUCUUUAGCUUCGAUGGCUUUGAAACAGCCUGGUCAACCCCACAAAGUAACCACUAAGGUUGUCUCAGCGAGUUGCAUAAGUGCAACCGAAUCUGAGACUUCAAAGCCAGCUAAGGAAUCGAGAUCCCAGAAACAUACAAGGAUGCUGAAGGAGGUGGUUGCUAAGACUCUUCAAAAACAUGGAAUUGCAGAGGAUCACAAGUGCUUUGCAUCAUGCAGCCAGCGUCUAUUUGAGAUAUCAAAGUUCUACUUAAAGGAUCUUAAAACUUCUAGGGGACUUCUUGAUGAAAUGAAGAAAACGGCAAAUAACAAUGCUAAACCGGUGAUUGAAUGGGUUUUGGAGAAGACUGGCAAGUAGAGGUACUGAAUAGGUGCUAUUCACACCUUCCUAAAAACUGCGGAGACAGAGCACUUCCGAUUGUAAGAAAAGCCUUAUACUGCCCAACACAGGUGCACACAUAUCUACACACCAGAAGGACUUUGUUCUCCCUGGGGAUUUGUUUUCUAAUGCCUCUAAUUCAAGCACAGAAAUUCUGACAAAGGAAACAAACUGAAAAGCUAAUCCCUUCUGGAAAAAGUAGCUGGCCCUGAUUCUGCUUCCACUGAAACUGAAGAAGCUCCAAUUAACUUUUAAACAUGGGUAAGAGGACAUUGAGAAGUCUUGCAGAUGGAAAUCAAAUCAACUUCUACUUCAAAUCAGCUGUGCUUCCGAAUGUGAAGAGCUGGAUGGAGCAUGCCUCCAUGUCCUGUGGCAAGAAAGAAUACUUACCUUCCGCAGAAGGAGAAAGCACUUGUUUCGUUAUUUGGAAAUGACCAAUUCUAAUGAUGUUCGUGGUAGCCAUUUACUUGGUAGCACAUAAAGAGUUGUGUUCCGAUUUAUAAAGUACCUUAAGAGAUGCUAGUUCCAUUUAAAGAGCAAGACUCUUAGGAAACACAGUAUGUUUCCCUGAACACACUCAGAUCAGCUUUAUUUUCUUUUAUUUUUUUUUAACAAACACCUUGUAUCACAUUUUUCCAAUAACAUAUAUGUUCCAAUAUGUAUCCAAGUCUUUUUAACGGUGAAGCUGCUAUACAAACUUUCUGAUCAGACCGUUCCAUUUACAGUCAGUAUUUUGUGAAAAGAGUGAAACUCGGGAAUAUCCCUUUUUAGGGUUUCCAUGCAGCUGGUCUGCCAUACCUCAGAUCAGACUGAAAGAAGAGGCUUAAAUUCCCACAGUUAGCUUUUCUAUUUGGGCCACUAAAUUAAGAAUUAAAGUAGAAGGGAAGAAAACCAUCUUUUUUUCCAUAACCAUUCAUAAGAUAAGCAAGGCACAUGUUGGCCUCACUCCUUGAAUGCAGAAGCUCGAGCAGAAAUUUCUGCUCUUUUUUUUUUUUUUUUAAUGACUUCUAUAACCACCCAGUUAAGUAUAAGCAAGAGAGAAAGCAUUGUAACUUCAGCAGGUGAGUCUGAGCGACCUUGCCCAGAACAUCCCUGUGGCCUUUCAGUAAAUGCCAGCAGCAAAAAAAAAA